rnacentral:lncRNA from 1 species
CCCCAGGGGCUGCAGGGGUCAGCUGUGGUCACCUGGCUGCUCGUCUCUAUGGAUCUCUGACUGGCACUGGCCUGGGUCAGUCUUCACUGAAUCAUUGAAGGGUUUGGGUUGGAAGAGACCUCAAAGAUCACCUAGUCCCCUUGCCAUGUGCAGAGACACCUUCCACUAGAUCAGGAUCCUUCCUUGGGGUAUCUACUUUCUCUAUGGGUUUCUCCCAGUCUCUGUCAACCUCUCUCAACCCAGUAAGGCUUUGUCAGAACCCACAGGACUGGAGGGACCUUUAAAAAUGCUGUGAUUGCCCUGAACUUGUAUCCUAGGCUUUGGGAGGAAGGAAAGGAUCACUUUCUGCAUUAAGAGCUGGGUGGAAUUCCCUGGAUUUGGAACUGAUGGUCAGGGGACACAGUUCUACUUCAGCAACUGGUGGCUUGACAAACAGAAUCUGGACAAUCU